GGGUGCAGGUGGGCUGAGUCCAAAAAGAGAGUCAGCAAAGAGUGGUGGGAUUAUCAUUAGUUCUUAUAGGUUUGGGAUAGGCGGUGAAGUUAGGAGCAAUUUUUUGUGGGCAGGGGGUGGAUCUUACAAAGUACAUUCUCAAGGGUGGGGUGAAUAUUACAAAGUACCUUCUUAAGGGUGGGGGAGGAUAUUACAAAGUACCUUCUCAAGGGUAGGGAGGGUAUGGUAUACAAAGUACAUUCACAAAGGCAGGGGAAUAUCACAAAGUAUAUUAUCCCAAGGGUGGGGAGGGUGUAUUGUUACAAAGUCAAUUGAUCAGUUAGGAUGGGGCAGGAACAAAUCACAGUGGUGGAAUGUCAUCAGUUAAGGCAGGAACUGGCUAUUUUCACUUCUUUUGUGGAUCUUCAGUUGCUUCAGGCCAUCUGGAUAUAUACCCCCAUGUCACAGGGGAUAUGAUGGCUUAGCUUGGGCUCAGAGGCCUGACACUUAUUUCUUUAAAGUAUAAUUGUAACUCAAAAUUUAAUAAUUAAAUGCUUGUUGAUGUAGUUUGGAUGUUUGUCCUCACCCAAAUCUCAUAUUGAAAGGUAAUCCCCAAUGUUGGAAGUGGGACCUUUUGGGAGGUGAUUGGAUCAUGGGGAUGGCCUUCUUAUGAAUGGUUUAGCAUCAUCCACCUUGGUGUGGUCCUCAUGAGAGUGAGUUCUCACAAGAUCUGAUCAUUUAAAAGUGUGUGGCACCUCCUUCCUUGUUCUCUUGCUCCUGCUUUUCUCAUGUGACCUGCCUGCACCUCCUGCCUUCUGCCAUGAUUGGAAGCUUCCUGAGGCCUCCCAGAAGCAGAUGCUGCUAUGCUUCCUGUAUAGCCUACAGAACCAUUAGCGAAUUAAACCUCUUUUCUCAUAAAUUACUCAGUCUCAGGUAUUUCUUUAUAGCAAUAUGAGAAUGGCCUAAUACACUUGUAUUAUAAACUUGUAUCAUUUUUUAAUUAUUUUUCUUGCAUUAUUGUUAUUUCUCAACUCUAUUGGAAGCUCCUUCUGGAAAGGAGCCAUGUCCCAACAUUUUUUGGACCUUUGCAGAUCACCUCAUAGAGUUACCGUAGAGAUUAAGAGUUGCUUUACAUGAAGUGCUUGGAAGAAGAUCUGACAUUUAAGUCCAUUUAUGGAACAUGGUGCUAGGCAUGGAAUUGGUGCUUAUAAACAUUGGUUGACUGAAUCACAUGAGUCAUAGAGUAAAAGGAUACAACUAAUUAAUAUAACUCAUUCAUUCAGUAUUUAUUCAUGCAGCCAACAGUUACUGAGCAUUUACUAUAUACCAGGCAUUUUUGCAUUGGUAAUAUAGCAGUGAGCAAAACAAAGAAGUUCCUACCCUCAAGAAGCUGAAAUUUCAGUAAGAAAAGAUAGACCAUAAACAGUGAAAUAAAUAACCAAGAUAAAAAACACACUGUCAUAAAAGCUAAGAGAAAAACAACUGGUAGUGGUUUAAGUAGACUGAAUCACAAAAGGUUACAUUUAGAAUUUGCCAGGGAAAUCAGGAAAUUCUAUUAAAAUAUUUCUAUCAAAAUACAGAAAUUAAUGGGAAUAAUAAAUGAAUAGUGAUUGCAACAACGAUUAAAAAAAAAAAAAAAA
ensembl:lncRNA